GUUUUUUAGCAGACUGUAUUUUCAUUAUUAGGAGAGAAUAGUAAACUGAUCUUUGAAAGUCAUACACCAGUAUAAAUAAAAACUUCACCACCCUAAAUUUAGCACACUCUUUCACUUUAAAUGGAAACAGUGUCACGAUAUCUUACCUACCAAGUGAAGGCCUUGUUCCUAUUAAAAGGGUGAGUGUGAGAAUCCAGGGCUACAUAGUGAUCCCCACACUCGACUGGUAAAACCUUUGUGACAGUUAUUUCAGGGUUAAGGCAGAAUUUUGAAGUAUUAGGUGAUCGAUUCCGUUUUAUUUUUUUUCCUUUCAGGAUUCUAAAGGAAAACAUUCUCUAUUAUCUGUUAUAGGUCCUCAGAACGGUUGGAAUGACCCUCCGGCUUUGAACAGAGUACCCAAAAAGAAGAAGAUGCCUGAAAACUUCAUGCCUCCUGUUCCCAUCACAUCACCAAUCAUGAACCCAUUGGGUGACCCCCAGUCACAGAU
rnacentral:sRNA from 1 species